UUGCGGUUAAAAAGCUCGUAGUUGGAUUUCUGUCUGGGGUGGUCGGUCCGCACUUUGUGCGUGCAUCUGAUGCGUCCUCGGCAUCCUUCUGAAGGACAUUGUACUUUAUUGUAUGAUGGAUUUCAGAACUUUUACUUUGAGGAAAUUAGAGUGUUCACAGCAAGCAAGCGCUUUGAAUACAUUAGCAUGGAAUAAUAAUAUAGGACCUUCAGUACUAUUUUGUUGGUUUCUAGAGCUGAGGUAAUGAUUAAUAGGGACAGUUGGGGGCAUUCGUAUUAACGCGUCAGAGGUGGAAUUCUUGGAUUGCGUUACGACGAACUACUGCGAAAGCAUUUGCCAAGGAUGUUUUCAUUGAUCAAGAACGAAAGUAUGGGGAUCGAAGACGAUUAGAUACCGUCGUAGUCUAUACCAUAAACUAUGCCGACUAGAGAUUGGAGGUCGUUUUUUUAUGACUCCUUCAGCACCUUAUGAGAAAUCAAAGUCUUUGGGUUCCCGGGGGGAGUAUGGUCGCAAGGCUGAAACUUAAAGGAAUUGACCGGAAGGGCA
rnacentral:rRNA from 1 species